GACGAACGCUGGCGGCGUGCCUAAUACAUGCAAGUCGAGCGAAUCAAUGGGAGCUUGCUCCCUGAGAUUAGCGGCGGACGGGUGAGUAACACGUGGGUAACCUGCCUGUCAGACUGGGAUAACUUCGGGAAACCGGAGCUAAUACCGGAUACUUUCUUUUCUUGCAUGAGGGAAGAUGGAAAGAUGGUUCUGCUAUCACUUACAGAUGGACCCGCGGCGCAUUAGCUAGUUGGUGAGGUAAUGGCUCAACAAGGCAACGAUGCGUAGCCGACCGGAGAGGUUCAUCGGCCACACUGGGACUGAGACACGGCCCAGACUCCUACGGGAGGCAGCAGUAGGGAAUCUUCCGCAAUGGACGAAAGUCUGACGGAGCAACGCCGCGUGAGCGAAGAAGGCCUUCGGGUCGUAAAGCUCUGUUGUUAGGGAAGAACAAGUAUCGGAGUAACUGCCGGUACCUUGACGGUACCUAACCAGAAAGCCACGGCUAACUACGUGCCAGCCGCCGCCGUAAAAC
rnacentral:rRNA from 1 species